rnacentral:rRNA from 1 species
UGGGGAAUUGUUCGCAAUGGGCGCAAGCCUGACGACGCAACGCCGCGUGGGGGAUGAAGGUCUUCGGAUUGUAAACCCCGGUUGGGUGGGACGAACACUUUCGUGGUGAAUAGCCAUGGAGGCUGACGGUACCACCUGAGGAAGCCCCGGCUAACUCUGUGCCAGCAGCCGCGGUAAUACAGAGGGGGCAAGCGUUGUUCGGAAUUACUGGGCGUAAAGGGCGCGUAGGCGGCCUGUUAAGUCGGACGUGAAAUCCCUCGGCUCAACCGGGGAACUGCAUCCGAUACUGGAUGGCUUGAAUUCGGGAGAGGGAUGCAGAAUUCCAGGUGUAGCGGUGAAAUGCGUAGAUAUCUGGAGGAAUACCGGUGGCGAAGGCGGCAUCCUGGACCGACAUUGACGCUGAGGAGCGAAAGCUAGGGGAGCAAA